rnacentral:rRNA from 1 species
CCUACGGGAGGCAGCAGUGGGGAAUUUUGGACAAUGGGCGAAAGCCUGAUCCAGCAAUGCCGCGUGAGUGAAGAAGGCCUUCGGGUUGUAAAGCUCUUUUGUCAGGGAAGAAACGGUGAAAGCUAAUAUCUUUUGCUAAUGACGGUACCUGAAGAAUAAGCACCGGCUAACUACGUGCCAGCAGCCGCGGUAAUACGUAGGGUGCAAGCGUUAAUCGGAAUUACUGGGCGUAAAGCGUGCGCAGGCGGUUUUGUAAGUCUGAUGUGAAAUCCCCGGGCUCAACCUGGGAAUUGCAUUGGAGACUGCAAGGCUAGAAUCUGGCAGAGGGGGGUAGAAUUCCACGUGUAGCAGUGAAAUGCGUAGAUAUGUGGAGGAACACCGAUGGCGAAGGCAGCCCCCUGGGUCAAGAUUGACGCUCAUGCACGAAAGCGUGGGGAGCAAACAGGAUUAGAUACCCUGGUAGUCCACGCCCUAAACGAUGUCUACUAGUUGUCGGGUCUUAAUUGACUUGGUAACGCAGCUAACGCGUGAAGUAGACCGCCUGGGGAGUACGGUCGCAAGAUUAAAACUUAAAUGAAUUAACGG